rnacentral:rRNA from 1 species
GACGUAGGGGGCGAGCGUUGUCCGGAAUCAUUGGGCGUAAAGGGCGCGUAGGCGGCCUCUUAAGUCUGAUGUGAAAGACCACGGCUCAACCGUGGGGGGACAUUGGAAACUGGGGGGCUUGAGUGCAGGAGAGGAGAGCGGAAUUCCUGGUGUAGCGGUGAAAUGCGUAGAGAUCAGGAGGAACACCGAUGGCGAAGGCAGCUCUCUGGCCUGUAACUGACGCUGAGGCGCGAAAGCGUGGGGAGCAAAC